AUGGAGUUGACCAGUGAUACUGUUUGUCGAGAGAUCGAGGUGCGUGAGCCUGGUGAGGCGCGAAAAGUUACCGAAGGAUGGUCCGGCAAUGUUGGAACUCGAGAGGUCGAGAUAAGUGACACGCCCUGCUGCAUCACAUUCAACGCCUUGGAGACGGCACGGCGAGGCCUCUGUCUCAGACCAGGUGUCAUAGGUGCCACGGUUGAUUGGGUUUUGCGCAUUCAGGAAGUUCUUCAGCUCACGGAGCACCUCCUUGUCACUAUGCCCAAGAAUCACCUCUGCUGUUGCGCCAAAUUAAACCAGAGGCAAUUAGUUAGGAUUAAGCAGGAAAUGUACAGUGUGAUCAUACAAACAGGCGCCAUACUGAUGAUAAGUGCUUGGCAAAAGGCACUCAGAAUAUGGUCAAAAACGGCCAUGGAGGAUAAAGAAACAAGUGACUUCUGUUUGCAGCUUGUACAACAGCUUUAUUGGUUCCCAUCCUUGUGGACAAAAGAGCAUUCAUCUCCAAAAUUGUGUGGCCAAAUCUGGGAUUUCACCAUCAUGAAAGUGUCUUUGGGGCCAAGGCAACCAAUCACCUAG
rnacentral:rRNA from 1 species